rnacentral:tRNA from 1 species
CCUCUCAUGGCGUAGUGGUAACGCGCCCCAACUAGAGACCGGGGAGUCGUGAGUUCGAUUCUCACUGAGAAGA